CGAGUAAGACGUGUAAUCGCUGCUAGUCUUGAACUAGGAGAGGAAAGUCGGAGCUCCACAGGGUAGAGUGCUGGUUAACGGCCAGUCAAGGUGACUUGAAGGAUAGUGCAACAGAGAUAUACCGCCAGAAGUCUUUAUAGACUGAGUUUACUUUUGUAACUGGUAAGGGUGGAAAGGCGAAGGUAAGAGCUCACCAGCAUAUUGGAGACAAUAUGGCUAUGUAAACCCCACUUGGAGCAAGACCGAGAAAGAAACAUUAUGGAGUGACCCGCUCCGUUUCAUGGUGUGUCGCUUGAGCUUGCUGGCAACAGUAAGCCUAGAUAGAUGAUUACUUAAUACAGAACUCCGCUUAUGGCUUAUCUCGCAUA
rnacentral:RNase_P_RNA from 2 species